UGGCUUCUCCCUGUGACCGCCACCAAACUUCUAGAACCCCUGCAAUAUGUGCUUCUGAUUUUUUUGUCAAGAUACAUAGAAGCGGCAGGUUUUUCGAUAGGAGAACGAUGUUCCUAGUAGUAUAAUUAAUAACACUGAUUUCAAGGAGAGCAUAUAAGAAAGAUCGCGUCAAAAUAAGCAAGAUAUUUAUUAACGCUUCAAGGAGCUCACCGUAAAUGUAAUAAUAUCUGCAUUAAGAGCUUGCUUUGCCGCUACCAAGAACUCGACACAAUCCUCUGUAUUUACCGUAAGAAUGCUUCUGAGAAGGACCUCUCUCCAUUGUUACUCAACGGCGGACUAUCGACGAAACAGUAUCACAGUCAAGAAGCACAGUGGUCAGUGUCGCUUCGGCAGGCUUCAUACUUAAAUGAACAAGGAAAACUACGUUAGUGAUGGUUAAACCUUCUUUAAUCGUUGGAUGUUUGGCAAGCCGGUUCAAGUUUCCGAAGCAGGAAUGAAAAGCUGAGCAUUACAGAGCUCCAACGUUGUACAGGGUUCGUGAGAGAAAAACGGUGUAAGCCUAGAGACCCCCCGCCAGGAUGAUGUCCGUAGAGGUCGGAUUUGAAUUUUGGUUGAUUCGAU
rnacentral:lncRNA from 1 species